UUUUUUUUUCAGUGUAAGCCAAGCUGACAGCAUCUUCAGGUUGUUCGCUGCAUCUUUAUCAAAAUUGUUUCUAAAGUUCAAAACACUUUGUGAGCGGUGCACGGGGAAUAUGACUUUUAAAAAAGUUUUCAUUUUUCUUCAGUACAUACUUGUGCACUCACAGCACAGCACACAUACAUACACCCAACACACACACACUCUCUCUUGUAUCCUUAUGCAAGGCUUGUGUGCAUGUCAGACGUGUUGUGUUGUGUUGUGGCUGAUGUGUAUCCCGUUAUUCUGCACAUUUGUAGGUUGUCAAAGUGGCUCAACGCCCGACAUGUUAACUUAUUUUGCCUGCUCUCUUUCUCUCUCUCUCUCAAAUCUGUUGCCGUUGUUGGCCAAGGCGUCAGGCAAACGAGGCUAAAGGUAAACACAUACAAGCAUGCAAACAGUCGGAAAGUAUCUGUUCUUCUACCACACAUAUCCUUGUAUGACGAGUUCAUUACCAAUCCCACUCUGAACUUGCUCAGUUUAAAUUACAAACUGGCUCUGCCCUUUAAAGCUAGAACACACUCGAGCAUUUCAUUAAUUUCGUUAUUCUACAAAAGCAAUUGCAAAAUCAAUAGUAAUGUAGUAAACCCCCAAAAAAACGAAGAGAAAAGAACUAGUCCAAAAAAUUGUAGAGUGCUUCGAAUUGGCAGCGUAUCGUCGUCUGGCUGAUUUCUAUUUGAAAAGUACCUCUGCGAUGCCGCCAGCAGCGUUUAUUAUACGAGAAUAAUAGCAAAACGAGCAGAUCGAAUAAAAUCGCAACGAAUUGAACCAACGACCAAAACGACCGCAGGUGCAUAGCGUUCUGUUCUGUUCUGUUCUGUGCUGUGCUGUUCCGUUUUUGGGGAGUCUCCGACUCGUGAAGUACAAAUUUCGGCAGCUGGCGGCAAGUGCACUUGAAGUAGCUCGUUGCCCAAAAAAAACACGCGCGCGGCAACAACUGUGAACUGAAUCAAGUAGAACUCGCAACUCGCACUCACAUUUGCGCACUUCGCCUGACGAGUCUUUAACCAAAAACGAAUAUUUGAAUAAACUUGCAUUGCGUUGCGAAGCUACAUUGACAGCAUCAGGGAGGGUGUCGUCUUGUAAGUGGAGGAGUUGAGUAUGUUGUGUGUGUGUGUGUCUGCCCUUAUGCUGAAUAUGUGCAUAAAUGCAUGUUGAGUAUAGUACAACAAUAACAAGAGUGGCAAGCAAACAAACGCAAAAACGCAAACUCAAUUGUCAUCACCAUAAAAAUAACAUAAAACUCUUUUUACGACUUCGUGGUUGCGUUUGUGCGUGUGAAAGAACUACAUAUACACAGACAUAUAUGUGCUAUAUAAUAUGUAUAUGUGUCUGGUAGGGGUAAUCAGACAUGGUGAAAUAAAAUGUUGUCUUGGUCCUUGCACGAAAUCACUUCGUUAAAACGUUAGUAGUGUCUCAUUAAAUUUUCAAGUCGAACUUUUAUGCCGAAAGCCGCAAACAAAAUGGCGUUGAGUAUAUUCCGGAAGUGCAAGUCACUUGCGUGGCUUUUUUAUUUUACUCGCUUUUACUUAUAUAUAAAACUAUAUUCAAACAUAACACAAA